ACACACACACAGAUCAAGACACUUUGGCCCAGCACCUCCUUCUCUUCCGCGUUAAUUACCCCUCUGAUUCUUUCCUCCCUCUUCCCAUCCCACCCAUCCCAAACAGAACGGCUCCUCUGUACCUUUCAGCCUUUCUCUACUACGGGUUGGAGAGCACUUACAGCUCAGCCUCCUUUUAGACCACGAGGUGGCCUGCAGCUGUGAGCUGAAUGACAGAACCAAGGGUCUGGGUUGGAAGGGUCCUAAAAGAUCACAGAUACAGGGAAUGGGGAAGGUUGGCCGGGUCCUUAAAGAUCACAGAGCCACGGAGUCACAGCAGAGCUUGGGCUGGAAAAGACCUUGAAGAUCACAGAAGCACGGAAUGGUUUGGGCUGGAUGCGACCUUCCAGAUCACCAAAGUGUGGAUUCACAGAAUGAUUUCUGUUUGUAGGACCCUUAAAUGUCACGGAACCAAAAAUGGGUUGAGUUGAAAAGGACCUUAAAGGUCAGCGAACUACAGAAUCCUCGCAUGGGUUGCAAGGGUCCUUGAAGGUCACAGAACCCCAGAAUGUGUUGGGUUGAAUGGGUCCUUGAAGGCCAAAGAACCCCAGAAUGUAUUUGGUUGAAUGGGUCCUUGAAUGGGUCCUUGAAGGUCAAAGAACCCCAGAAUGUGUUGGGUUGAAUGGGUCCUUGAAGGUCAAAGAACCCCAGAAUGUGUUGGGUUGAAUGGGUCCUUGAAGGUCACAGAACCAUACAAUCUGUAGGACUGAAUGGGUCCCUGAAGGUCAUAGAACCACAGAAUGUGUUGUGUUGAAUGGGUCCUUGAAGGCCAAAGAACCAUCGAAUGUGUUGGGUUGAAUGGGUCCUUGAAGGCCAAAGAACCCCAGAAUGUGUUGGGUUGAAAGGGUCCUUGAAGGUCACAGAACCCCAGAAUGUGUUGGGUUGAAUGGGUCCUUGAAUGGGUCCUUGAAGGUCAAAGAACCAUAGAAUGUGUUGGGUUGAAUGGGCCCUUGAAGGUCAAAGAACCAUCGAAUGUGUUGGGUUGAAUGGGUCCUUGAAGGCCAAAGAACCAUCGAAUGUGUUGGGUUGAGUGGGUCCUUGAAGGUCACGGAACCAUCGAAUGUGUUGGGUUGAACGGGUCCUUAAAGGUCAAAGAACCAUAGAAUGUGCUGGGUUGAAUGGGUCCUUGAAUGGGUCCUUGAAGGUCAAAGAACCCCAGAAUGUGUUGGGUUGAAUGGGUCCUUGAAGGCCAAAGAACCCCAGAAUGUGUUGGGUUGAAAGGGUCCUUGAAGGCCAAAGAACCAUUGAAUGUGUUGGGUUGAAUGGGUCCUUGAAUGGGUCCUUGAAGGUCACAGAACCCCAGAAUGUGUUGGGUUGAAUGGGUCCUUGAAGGCCAAAGAACCCCAGAAUGUGUUGGGUUGAAUGGGUCCUUGAAGGUAACAUAACCAUACAAUCUGUAGGACUGAAUGGGUCCUUGCAGGUCACAGAACCACAGAGAACCGGAGGGGAUGCAGCUGAACUCUGCUGCUCAGCAGAGGCUGACGCUCAGGCCAUGGUCACCAUCCACCCGUUUGUGCAGCUCUGGUGCAGCACCCAGAGCACGACGCGUGCGCCUCGCUCCUACCAGCCUACUGUGAACCUCAGCUCCAAAGCCCCUGCACAACAACCCAGAGGGAGACAUUCUUCCACCAGCGCCCCCUCCACGCAUAUCCAACCUUCAGCACCCCAAAAGCCCCCGAAAUGAUGGGGUCAGGCCCGUCCUCGAGGUCACCGUGGGGUCCUGUGGGGCUCCAGCACUUUGCUGAGCCACCUCUGAGCUUCUUCCAUGCCCGAGCAGGGCUGCAUUUCUCCUCCUCUGCUCCGGAGCUUCAAUGCUGCUUCGCUGCUUCCAUCUGCUGGCAGCAAGGCUGCUUUCUCUUCCAGGCUCCUGGCACAGGGACUGAAGGCUGGGAAGGGAAGGAGCCUGGAUUGCUGGCUUUGCUCCUUCUGCCAUGCUGCAGUCUGUAUUGUCUUUCACAGGUUAAGCACAGGGGGUAUGCAGUCCUACUGUGGUUUUGGUGACAGAAUCCCACGUAUGUAAAGCAAUGGAUUCUGGUCACUAAGCAAAACAGCAUUAAACACCUUUCCCUAUUUGCCCGUUCCCAAGCUGACCUGCAGUGUUGUGCAGCGCAAUUUCUUCUGCGCCUCUGAAUGUGGAACAGUUGGGUGACGUUUGCAGGUUCACAAAGGAUGAGAAUUUAACUGUGGAAAAAGCAAAUCCCUCUUCCUGCAGACACAACGCUUCAGGUGUGUGCAAGGAGAAGCCUUUAAGGCACUGCUGUACCAACAGAGCUGGCCACAAGCUUUCACAGAAUCACAGAAUCACCCGGGUUGGAAGGGACCCCAAGGAUCAUGCAGUUCCAACCCCCCUGCCUGGCAGGGCCACCAAACAUCCACAUUCAGAUCAGGUUGCCCAGGACCCCGUCCAACCUGGCCUUAAACACGUCCAAGGACGGGGCAUCCACAACCUCCCUGGGCAGCCCGUUCCAGGGCCCAACCACUCUCCUAGUAAAGAACUUCCCCCUAACAUCCAACCUCAAUCUUCCCUCCUUCAACUUGGAUCCAUUUCCCCUCGUCCUGCUGUUGUCAGCCCUUUGGAAGAGUUUACUCCCCUCCUGGCUGUAGGUUCCCUUCAGGUAUUGAUAGGCUGCCAUGAGGUCACCCCGCAGCCUUCUCUUCUCCAGGCUGAACAAAGCCCAACUCCCUCAGCCUGUCCUCAUAGGGGAGCUGCUCCAGCCCCCUCAUCAUCUUAGUCGCCCUCCUCUGGACCCUUUCCAAAUCCCCCCAUCCCCCAUACCGACCCCAUUCCCCCCUCACUGCCACCUAUAACGACCCCA